GCCCUUUCAUUAGGCCUCCGAUAGGACUAUAUUAGAUGUGUCGGUUUACCGACUAUGGCGAUAAACGCUUUGCAGAAUAAGCGUAACGGACCCGGGGGCAGUGCCCGGCGCCUCCACCAAAAAUUCCUGGAAAUCCAGGGUGUUAGACAAUAAUACCUUAGGUUUUUUCAGACCAUUUUGGGGGCGAAACAGGAUCGACGUGCGUAGUAAAAUCAAAGUUUUUGCCCGGCAUUGUACCACCGUUAUCGGGCUACUUUUACAAAUGCUAACGAUAAUGAAGCAUUUGCGGUAGCAGCUUAACAGCUAACCUACCACGGGGUUCGGAGGGCACCUGGCAACAGAAGCCCUCCACU
rnacentral:tmRNA from 1 species